CUCCUACGGUGAUGCCGGUAACCAUCCUCGCAGCACCUCAUGAAUCGCUCCUUUUAUUUUUUUUUUCAGAUGAGAAAUCCCUGCAUCGCUUCAAUCAACGUGGUUUUGGCAGCACCCACCAAAAGGGAUGGGGACAGGGACGGGGCGAAGCCAUGCCAGCGCGGGGGAGCAGCCAGGGCAGCAGGGAGACGACCACCACGCAGCACCCGAACCCUGGAAAUCAAAGGAGCUCCACCAGGACCUGGUGUUAGGACUGAGCUUUCCAGCCCGGAGGAGGCUGCUCCUGCCGUGGGUUUGCAGCGGCAAAGUUGUGCCUGGCUCUCGGGGCCGGGCUGGGGUGGUGGCAUCCCUCCUCCACAAGCACGACACGUGCGGAGCUGAGCACGGGAAGUUACCUGCGCUCCCCCAAGGAUGCUCAAGACCCCAUCGCCCCUUGUGGAUGGGGAAGGGGGCUCUGCCAGCUGCACCCCACGGGCAGGGCGCCGGGACCCCCACCGGCGACUCGUGGGGAUGAGGACACGGGUGAAGACGUGCCACCGCGCUGCCCGGGGACAGCGUGAGGGUCAGCCUCUUCGCAAGCAACCCGUCGCGAAGCACAGCUCUCGGUGAGGAAUUUUGGAGCAGGGACCCAGCUUUCGGCACGGCUCGUGGGGGGGGGGCUUAAAAUUUGCCGAAAAACACCAGGAACAGUUCAGGCAGCGAGUCAGGGGGGUGGUGGCACAGUCACCUCCUGGGCACCCAUGUCCUUGCUGUAGUAGGACCUUGGAAGUGCCCAUCCCGGGCUCACACCAGUUUCUCCCAUUAACAGGUGACGUGAGCGGACACCGUGGGAUGCGGAUGGCCAAGAAAUGUUGGAGAAGAGCCGAGGCUUGGUCUGAAGUGUGGUCAGGAUCCGUGCAGACGCCCUUCCCGUCCUGUCCCCAGGGUAAGGGCUUGCUCCGUCCCCGUGGCUGGAGCCAGGCGUGCCCAGGAGGGUCCCAGGCCAUGGAGCCACUGAGCCCGAGGCAUCGGGGGACAAGGUCUGCAGCUCAACGAGGUGAAAAGGAAAAAAAAACAAAACACAAACCCCAAGUGUAUUAAAGGUGUUCCAAACCUACAGCAGC
rnacentral:lncRNA from 1 species